rnacentral:tRNA from 1 species
GGCGAGGUAGCUCAAACGGCAGAGCAGGGGACUCAUAAGCCCUUGGUUAUCGGUUCAAGUCCGAUCCUCGCCA